rnacentral:lncRNA from 1 species
ACCUCUCAUUCUUCAAGAUUCUUAGGUAGAUGAAGAGUUUUGUAUGGCUGGAGGAAUGCUGAAUUGUAUUUGAAGAGCUCAAGUGAUACCAUAGAUCACCCCCAUUGCUCUCCAAAUCAGAGAUAAAUAAGGAUUUGUACUUAUACUUAUCAAUCUCACCUCUUGCUGUAAGCUCCGUGUUGGUCCGAGAAGAUGUACAGAACCAAAGGCCUAUUUAUUACGCUAGCAAGCACUUUUAGGAUGCAAAAACAAGAUACUCAA